UAUGACGUGGAGAAGAACAACAGCCGC
rnacentral:piRNA from 3 species